CAGCCGCCGCGGUAAUACGUAGGUGGCAAGCGUUGUCCGGAAUUAUUGGGCGUAAAGCGCGCGCAGGCGGAUAGGCCAGUCUGUCUUAAAAGUUCGGGGCUUAACCCCGUGAUGGGAUGGAAACUGCCAAUCUAGAGUAUCGGAGAGGAAAGUGGAAUUCCUAGUGUAGCGGUGAAAUGCGUAGAUAUUAGGAAGAACACCAGUGGCGAAGGCGACUUUCUGGACGAAAACUGACGCUGAGGCGCGAAAGCCAGGGGAGCGAACAGGAUUAGAGACCCCAGUAGUCCCUGUCUCUUAUACC
rnacentral:rRNA from 1 species